rnacentral:rRNA from 1 species
AUUGAACGCUGGCGGCAUGCCUUACACAUGCAAGUCGAACGGCAGCGCGGGAGCAAUCCUGGCGGCGAGUGGCGAACGGGUGAGUAAUAUAUCGGAACGUGCCCAUUAGUGGGGGAUAGCCCGGCGAAAGCCGGAUUAAUACCGCAUACGACCUGAGGGUGAAAGCGGGGGAUCGCAAGACCUCGCGCUAUUGGAGCGGCCGAUAUCAGAUUAGCUAGUUGGUGGGGUAAAGGCCUACCAAGGCAACGAUCUGUAGUUGGUCUGAGAGGACGACCAGCCACACUGGGACUGAGACACGGCCGAGACUCCUACGGGAGGCAGCAGUGGGGAAUUUUGGACAAUGGGCGCAAGCCUGAUCCAGCAAUGCCGCGUGCAGGAAGAAGGCCUUCGGGUUGUAAACUGCUUUUGUCAGGGAAGAAAUCCUUUGGGCUAAUACCUCGGAGGGAUGACGGUACCUGAAGAAUAAGCACCGGCUAACUACGUGCCAGCCGCCGCAGUAA